AACGAACGCUGGCGGCGUGGAUAAGACAUGCAAGUCGAACGGCCCCGACAUUUAGUCAAUAAAAUAGUCGGGGUAGUGGCGAAAGGGUGCGUAACACGUGGCUACCUACCUCGAAGUUGGGGAGUAGCUCGGCGAAAGCCGGAUUAAUACCGAAUGUGAUCGUGAGACCAAAGCUGGGGAUCGUAAGACCUGGCGCUUUGAGAUGGGGCUGCGGCCUAUCAGGUAGUUGGCGGGGUAAGUGGCCCACCAAGCCUAAGACGGGUAGCUGGUCUGAGAGGACGACCAGCCACACUGGAACUGAGACACGGUCCAGACACCGUACGGGUGGCAGCAGUCGAGGAUUUUUCUCAAGUGGGGAAACCCUGAAGGAGCGACGCCGCGUGAGGGAUGAGGU
rnacentral:rRNA from 1 species